UACGUAGGGGGCUAGCGUUGUCCGGAAUCAUUGGGCGUAAGCGCGUGUAGGCGGUCCGGUAAGUCCGCUGUGAAAGUCGGGGGCUCAACCCUCGAAUGCCGGUGGAUACUGUCGGGCUAGAGUGCGGAAGAGGCGAGUGGAAUUCCUGGUGUAGCGGUGAAAUGCGCAGAUAUCAGGAGGAACACCAGCGGCGAAGGCGGCGCUCUGGGCCGGAACUGACGCUGAGGAGCGAAAGCCAGGGGAGCGAACGGG
rnacentral:rRNA from 1 species